rnacentral:rRNA from 1 species
GGACGAACGCUGGCGGCGUGCCUAAUACAUGCAAGUCGAACGCACUGACGGAGAACUUGUUCUCUUGACGUGAGUGGCGCACGGGUGAGUAACACGUGGGAAACCUACCCUUCAGCGGGGGAUAACCAUCGGAAACGAUGACUAAUACCGCAUAGACGACAGAACCGCCUGGUUCAAUCGGGAAAGACGGCUUCGGCUGUCACUGAAGGAUGGUCCCGCGCUGCAUUAGCUAGUUGGUAAGGUAACGGCUUACCAAGGCGAUGAUGCAUAGCCGACCUGAGAGGGUGAUCGGCCACAUUGGGACUGAGACACGGCCCAAACUCCUACGGGAGGCAGCAGUAGGGAAUCUUCCGCAAUGGACGCAAGUCUGACGGAGCAACGCCGCGUGUGUGAAGAAGGUUUUCGGAUCGUAAAGCACUGUUAUUAGAGAAGAACAGCCGAUAGAGUAACUGUUAUCGGUUUGACGGUAUCUAACCAGAAAGUGACGGCUAACUACGUGCCAGCAGCCGCGGUAAUACGUAGGUCACAAGCGUUGUCCGGAUUUAUUGGGCGUAAAGGGAGCGCAGGCGGUUUGUUAAGUCUGAUGUGAAAGCCCACGGCUCAACCGUGGAACGGCAUUGGAAAUCUGGCAAAGCUUGAGUAUAGAAGAGGAAAGUGGAAUUGCCAUGUGUAGCGGUGAAAUGCGUAGAUAUAUGGAGGAACACCAGUGGCGAAGGCGACUUUCUGGUCUAUAACUGACG